rnacentral:lncRNA from 1 species
AGCUGCCCCAUUGCACACAUUGGAAAGGAGAGUUUGCUGUGAGCUCAGUCCUUCUAAUAGACUGGCAAUUUUGUGAAAGGUUUAGAGGAUUUUGUUUAACCAUUUCUGCAUGUGUUUUUAAUGAGCUCAUGAUGGUUUUAACAAAGGCCAGGUUGUGCGUUUUGCGGCAUUUUGUGACCUGAUCCCUCCCUGCUGAGCCGGGGAGUGGGCACCUGUGCUCUGCUCCUGGCUCACCUAUGGGAGUCAAGGUGGUGGGGCCAUCUCCGGGCCUGUCUUCGUGCCAGGGAUGAAUCAUGCAGUAGGCAGAGCGGAAGGAGCCUCUUUGUUGACAGCUUUCCAUCUGGACUUUGGAUACGGCUGAUGGUUCACGUAGAGCGUUGGUUAGCUGGAAGGGACUAGAAGAGUCCGCUCCUCCGUAAGGGAUCAGGAGCGUGCAAAGCCCCAGCAAAGAAUGGCCCCAGAUUUCAUCUGCAAAGCUCAGAGAAGCAUCUCACUCCCUGAGGUUCAGGUACCGAGGUACCAGCCGACACAUCCAACAGCCAGUGAGAUAAUAGGGAUCAAGAAGUCCUCCGCGUAGAGGAACCUGCCACAUCCUUCUCAACAACAGAAGAUUCCAAGUCCACUCAGCCCCGGCCACGUCUAUUGUUCGAGUGUCUCUCCUUCACACAGGAGGAUGACUAUUUCUUUAGGUGUGUGUAAGUCUGGCAGAAUCACACGCCGCUCCCUCUCCCGAGGUGUGAGUGGGGACUCCCUGACCACCCACGAUGUGCUCAGGCACAAAGCAAAAUGGUUGCCGAAUUAAAGAUUAGCAUCUAUUUGAUCACCAUCCAGGUGUCCUAUGAGUGAGGCAGAGGGUGAUCAGACAACGGAGCACACUGAACAAAGGCACUUCUCGUUGAGGACGUAAGGAGACUGUGCAAUGUAAGCUCUGUGUUGGCAGCAGGCAGCACAUGUGUGUUCUCUAUCUGGGGACA